rnacentral:lncRNA from 1 species
AACAAAGCCAGAAACCGCUGGGGAUGUCCAAAGCCGUUGUCGAGAAGCAAACUGGAGUCAAGAGCCAAAAACGCCAAACGGAACGCCAAAGCAGGGAGCGCAGGAGCGAGCGAUGUCGUCACUAGGAAACAAACCGGAGUCGAAGAGCCAGAAGAGCCAAACAGAACGCCAAACGGGGCGUCAAAGCAGAGAACACUAGCGGGAGCAAGUGAAGUCGUCACCAGGAAACAGACCGGAGUCAAAGAGCCAGGAACACCAAACAGAUUGCCAGACUUAGAUCUCCCCAUAUCCCAGAAGUAUGAGAGGCUUGCCAAUCCCCUGAUGCAGCUCCAUGAGCUGGCUCAUCAUCCACACUUACUUGAGUCCAAUCAGCAUUCUCCAUCUCACUUCCAGACCCAUCAUCCCCAGAAAACCCCUCAAACGUUUCAUCUUCCGUGGGAGCCAUAAGUAUUUCCCAGAUCUUCUUUCUUUCCCUCUCCCCAUCAGACUCUUGCUCCCGAGUUGACCUUUUAAUCCCUCUACUCUCUGUCAACUCAUCAUCCUCUAGCAUCUCCUCUUCUCCACUAGAGAAUCCUUCAAACGUUUCAUCCUCAGAGGGAGCCAUAAGCAUUUCAUGAAUCCUUUUCACUUGCUGUUCUUCAUCAGACACCUGUUCCCUGUUAUCCCUUUUUCUCCUACUAGCAGUAGUACCAGAGCUGCCCCUUGACCCAACAACAACAGUAUCCUUCAGACUGAUGUUUUGAAUUCCAUGUUUUACUAUUCCUAACCACUGGUUAUUCUUGUUGCAGCUGAUGUGAGUUACAUUUAGAGAAUAAAGACCACUAGGUUGAUGAAAAUAUACUUAAAAGUGGCAGUGUUCCAUACAAUGGCAGUGACAGAAAAGAGGUUUGUGAGAUUGCUUAUCUUGUUUCUCUAGCCCUGAAGGUACAGUGAGAAUCUGUAUUGAGCUGAUGGGAUGAGUGUGGCAAGGUACAAAUGUUCCACUUGCACUGUGUGUUCAGACUACUUUCAGACUACUUGGGAGUCUGAAGGCAUAUUUCAUUCAUCCUUUUAGAAUCCAUGGAAGUAAAUGUUCUGAAGCAGUAGUACAAAGGCAGCAAAUGUGCACUAUCUACCUGUCACUACCAGGUAGAUAAGGGAGAUAUGGAAGUUGACUUAAAAAACCCCUAGGGAGCCCUGGCUUUUAUAGCUCAGGGUUUCCCUAUGUGUGUUCAAACACACUGAUCCAGUGAAUGCAUUCUGGCAUUCAGCACAAUCACAGGUUUGCUCAUCAAAGAAAUAAGAUUGAAGGUAGGUAUAAGGACAGAUAAGAAAAACAUUCUUUAGGAUAGUACAAGAUCAACUAGGCCAGAAAGAUUUGCAUUUUGCUCCCACUGGGUAUACAUUCCAUGAAUGGCUAGGAGGGCAGUUACCAACUAUGUAUUUACAUCUAUACUACUAAGCUUCCUUGGGUUAAGGUGCUUUGAAAUAUCUUUUAUUCCAUGACUAGCUUGGGGACCCGGUGGUGCCCGGGUCAUUUGAGAAUGGUAUUAUUUGUCUUUCAAUGUUAUGUAUUCUGUUUGGAGUGGGUGAACUACAAUUCCCAGAAUCAUGGCUUAAU